rnacentral:lncRNA from 1 species
UUAAGAUGCAUCUGCCCAUUGUAAACUUCUUUUAUCAUAGAAAGGGGGCUAAACUGCUAUAAGGUCAUGCCAUUUGGCUUAAAAAAUAUUGGCGCAACGUAUCAGAUACUGGUCAAUAAAAUGUUCAAGGACCAAAUUGGGAAGACGAUACCAAAUUGGGAAGACGAUAGAGGUAUAUAUAGAUGAUAUGCUCGUCAAGAGCCUCAAAGCGCCAGAUCACAUCUCCCACCUCGAAGAAACUUUCAACGUCCUACGGAAGCACCGAAUGAUGGUGAACCCCUCCAAAUGUAUCUUUGGUGUUUCUUUGGGAAAAUUUCUCGGCUUCCUAGUAACCAAACGAGGAAUAGAAGCAAAUCUGGAUCAAAUCCAAGCCUUACUUUAGAUGAGCUCGCCCAGAAACAUUUAUGAGGUGCAACAGCUGACUGGGCGAGUCGCCGCCCUUAAUAGAUUCAUCUUCAAAUCGGCUAAUAAAUGCUCACCGUUCUUCAAAAUCCUGAGAAAAAACCAAGCUUUCCAAUGGACAAAUGAGACAGAAAUGGCAUUCCAGUAACUGAAAAAGUACCUCGGGUCACCACCCUUGCUCAUGGUCCCCGCUAUGGGCGAGUAACUACUGGUAUACCUCUCUAUCUCGCCAACAACAGUUGGUGCAGUCCUUAUUCGAGAAUAAGAAAUGAUCCAAAAAUCAGUGUAUUAUGUCAGUAAAGUCCUGAUGGGAGCCAAGACCAGAUACUUGAAAAUUGAACAGCUUGCUUACGCCUUUAUGAUAUCGGCAAGGAAGCUUCGUCACUAUUUUCAAGCUUACCCUAUAGUCGUGCUGACCGAUUAACCCUUGAAACAAAUCCUCCAACGGCCUGAGACCUUAGGAAGGCUCUUCAAAUGGUCUAUUGAGUUAAAUGCAUUCCACAUCGACUACAGACCGAGAAUGGCCAUUAACCCCCAAGCCUUGGCCGACUUUGUGGCAUAAUUUACACAUGAAGAUGCUCCGGAAUGAGAAAGGGGUCACCACGAAGUAGAGGUCCAAAAAGAGUAAGGCCCGGAUGAGGAUCUCACCAGAUGGUGAUUAUUUGUUGAUGGGUCUUCCAAUCAACAGGGCUGCGGUGCAGGACUUGUUCUCCAAACUCCUUCAGGUGAGCAGAUGGAAUACGCCAUUUGUAUUGGCUUUAGGGCCACAAACAAUGAGGCAAAAUACGAAGCCUUCCUCGCAAAUUUAGGGUUACCGCAGGAUUAGAGGUAGAAUCUUUGGACACCUUCGGUGAUUCCCAGCUAGUCGUAAGCCAAGUCCAAGGAGAAUACCUCGCCAAAGACCCCCAGAUGAUGGAUUACCUUGACGCAGUAAAACAUAUUUCAAUCAGAAUCAAAGAUUUCAGAAUUACCCAAAUCCCCAGGGAAGAAAAUAGGAAGGCCGAUGCCCUAGCCAACCUGGCCUCCACUUUUGACUUCAUCUCGGAUAGAAGCAUUCAACUAGAAUUCUUACCAGAUCCAAGUAUCGAGGUCGCCAAAGUCGUCUAUCCCGCAGAAACGCAACAGACAUGGAUGGACGACAUCAUCACCUAUCUUCGAGAUGGAAUAUUGCCCCCGGAUAAGCUCCAAGUUGCCGUAUCUAAUAUAGGUCAGCCAAAUUCUAUAUUCUUCAAGGAAUCUUGUACAAGAGAUCCUUUUUGGGACUACUCCUAAGAUGCCUCCGACCUGAUGAAGUAGACUAUGCUAUGAGGGAGAUUCAUGAAGGUAUAUGCGGAAAUCAUUCCGGGGCGAGAUCAUUGGUCAGAAAGGCAAUUUGCCAAGGAUACUUCUGGCCAUAGAUGGAACGAGAUGCAGCGGCAUAUACGACGAAAUGCAAUAAAUGCCAAAGGUUUGCACCGGUAUGUCACCUUCCUCAUACCAAGAUAGUGCCGAUAACAAGUCCUUGGUCGUUCGCCCAUUGGGACCCUUGCCUUAAGCCCUACUAUAGAAGAAAUUUUUAAUAGUCGCCAUAGAUUACUUCACAAAAUGGGUAAAGGCCGAACCCCUUGCCAAAACUACCGAGAAAAAAGCCAAGGAUUUUAUUUGGAAACACAUCGUGUGCUGGUUCGGAGUUCCCAAGAUUAUCAUCUUAGACAAUGCAAGGCAAUUCGAUAACGACAAGUUCAACUACUAUGUUCAGAUCUCGCCAUCUCUCAUCAUUUCUCCUCGCCCGAAAAUCCACAGGCUAAUGAACAAGUGGAGGUCACCAACAGAAUAAUCCUGAGGAAUUUGAAAGCGAGGUUAGAAAAAUCCCAAAGCUAGUGGGUAAAAGACCUCCCGAGCAUACUUUGGGCUUAUCAUACCACGAGCAGAGUCCCAAUGGGCAAGCACAUUUCUCCUUGGUCUAUGGGACGGAGUCAGUCAUACCGGUGGAAAUAGGUUUGCCUAGCUUCAGGACUACAAAUUUCAACAAGGAGCAUAAUGAGAUCGAGUUGAGACUCAAUCUUGAUCUCAUUGACAAAAAGAGAGAAUGAGCCGAAGUAUGCCGGGCAGCUUACAAGCACCAAGUCGCCAAGUAUUAUAACCAAAGUGUGAAACACUGAUCCUUCCUGCCUGGGGACUUGGUCCUAAAGAAGGUCACCCUCGCCACUAAGGAACCAAAUUUAGGAAAACUCGGCCCUACAUGGGAAGGUCAGUAAAAAGUAAUCAUAGUUUCCAGACCGGAAACUUAUUAGCUAGAGGAUGCUAACGGAAAAGCACUACCUCACCCAUGGAAUGCCGAACAUUUAAAAAAAAUACUACCAAUAAACCUUCUAGUCGCCGCUUUAAUGAUCUCGCCAGCCAGCUUACUAUAUAUGCCUACAACUUCCUUUAAUAACCUCCAUGCUUCCAUAGAUCAUAAAAUUUCUCCAAUUCAUUUCCCGAUAUACGACGAUUUAUAUCGCCCAGUGCAUUUAGCACCCGUAAAAAAAUAAUAAGGCGACUUGAUCUCCCAUUCAUUACAAAAAUGAUAAGGCGACUUGAUCACCCAUUCAUUAUGAAAAUGAUAAGGCGACUUGAUCGCCUAUUUAUACAAAAUGAUAAGGUGACUUGAUCGCCCAUUCAUUUCAAAAUGAUAAGGUGACUUAAUCACCAUUCAACAGUUGCCAAAUUUUGUUAUUCAACUCACUAGAAGAAAAUGCGUGACGGGAGGUUAUUCGCUUAGAAAUUGAAUUCGUCAAUUAUAAAUCAAGUUUUAUUCACCAAUUCGAUUAUGAGGUUUCACUAAGGAAUUGCGGGUGCAAACAGCGUGGGAAACAAGAAAAUUUUCAUUCAUUGGGAACAAGUGUUACAAACGCCAAUUACAUGUCGCCAUUGCCAAAAAAUAAAAAAAUAAAAAAAAAUAUUUUUUUUUGAAUGAAGUGGAUGAGAGGGGAAGACUCAGUCCUUCUCUUUCUCUUCCCCCCUUUCUUAGGCCUUCUUCCUCUCCCUCUCCUCGGCUUCAACCUCUUCUUUGGCGAGGAAGUCUCGGCCCAUCUCCAUAUCAUCAAAAUCGAUGCCGAGAUUGGGGUGAUGGUGCGCAAGUUGUCUCUUACAAAAAUUGAAACCAUCGCCGAAGUAGGAGGACGCCGAGCCCAUCACGGCCUCUUGGAAGUCUUCCAACUCCUUAAACUUUGCAUUGAUCCUCCUCUUAGCGAGAGCUUGACUCUUUUCCAUCUGUGCAACCUGCACUUCCAGCCUCACCAUCUCUUUGUUCCUUGCCUCAUCUGCCUUGGCGGCCUUUUUCUCAUUGGCCCUCGCCUUGGCUAGGGCCCCCUUUAAUUUGAUAGCCCGAUUUUAAGCUCUGACCAUCUCCAACUAGGAAGAUUCUGCAAGGGUGCGUAGAUUUUUGGCACUUUUAGUAAAAUCCCUGCUGUAAACGGCGAGAGAGGAGCCUAGAAUGACUCCCUGCUACAUGCAAGUAAAUGAGAUCGCCACAGACUAAGAAUAACAGAGAUGAGAUCACAAGAGGAAGAAAUCAAAUACCUGGCCCAUGAUAUGAAUGAACUUAGUCACCACUUGAUCAAAGGUGAGCUUCUCCACCUUCUCCUUAUCGGCGGGGAGGAUCACCUCAGCCAACUUUUUUUCUGCCGUAGCGGCAAUAGCCAUCAUUGAGGCUUGAGGACCCAGAGCCCCUCUAGGAACAGGCUUGGUUGUGCUACCCUCCCCGGGAACAGGUGGCCACGUAGGGAUCACGCUUGCACCCUACUGGUUUUGGCUUACUUCGCCUCUGGCAGUGGGGCGACCUGCUUUCCCUUAGAAUCGUCGUCUAAGACCCUCUUCUUGGAUGGCGACUCCAAGACCUCAGAGAUCACCAUGCCCUUAGAGGAUGAGGUGGCAGCCUUUUCAGCACAGUCUUGGCGAGCUGGCUAAGUUUGAUUCUCUUCGACAUCACUGCAAAAAGAGGAGUUAGCAUCAGAUCAAAAAAAACAGACUAAACAUUUGAAAGAUAUAGAUAAUACCAUCCGAUCUGAGCUCAAGCGACAACCCAUAGUCUGAUCAAGACCCCAACCUAGAGUCAGAACUUGAGCUUGAGCUACUGGAGCAGAACCUAAGAUGGGGUCUCAGACUUUUCUCCCUGACCUUCUUUAACAAGGUUAAGUCAGGAACUUGGGGUAGAUCCUCCUCAUUUCCUUCUCGAUGAUCCCUAUGAACUCGAACGAGUCAUCUCGGGAAGGGACCUCGGGGCGAGGUACAUCUCGAAAAUGGCAAGACACAUCUUGGGAAUGGAUAGACUCACUUGCGUUGCCCGCAAAAGCAGCGGCUUUGCCCCCAAUGUUGCCCUCAAUCGUGUCACUACCACUAGAAGACAUCUCGGCUCGAUUGGGGGUGAAAUAUUUGUAGAAGGUCCUCAAGUCAAGGACCGCGGGGAUCUUGAAGUGCCCCCUUCUCCUAUCUUCUCAAAGACCUGGCAAAAUCUCUUGUCCUCGGUCUCGAACAGGAUGGGCAUUUUGUUGCAUCGCUUGCCUGAAGAAAAUAGUAUUUGUUAACAUAAGGCAAAAUAAAAUACUUAAACAAAAUAAUUGGAAAAAGGACGUGACCAACUUGGAGCUCCCCAUGACCUCGAACCCCGUAUGGCCCUUUCUUUGCAAGGAAUGUUCAGAUGGAGCUCCCAGUCGUCUCCCAAGAUGAAGAAGAAUUUAUUCUUCCAUCCCUUGACAUUGUUGGGGGGGGGGGGGGGGCUUUAGAAUAUUCCUACCCAACCUCGCUUUAAAGUAGAGCCAUCCAAACUCCGAUCUCGGACCUAUGAAUAGGGCGUAAAGACACCUAAACUCAUUUAAAGACAGUUGACGCCAAUAGAACCGCCAUAUCACUAGCACAGAGAUAAUACAUCGCCAUGCGUUGGGGGAGAGUUGGGUGGGACAGAUGUCAUAAAAAUUUAAUAACCGCUUAACGGUUGAGUGUAUGGGGAACCUCAAUUCAGCAGGGAAAGCGAAUUCGUAAAAAGCCACCUCGCUCGCGCCAGUAUACAAGCUCGUCUCGCCGUUCCUAAGGAUCCUAGUCUGGACCCUCGAUGAGAAAGAGCAGGCUUCCCAUAGGCGAUCAAGGUUGCCUUGAGUCAUGAUAUUUAAUUUUGUAGCUGGGGAACUAGGAACUUCUAUCUCAGAAAGUUUUUCCUGAGGAGAGGAUUCCUCAGGAGGGGUAGGGGGAUGUUGGUUUACUUCGUUAGUCAUGGAGGUUUCUCCUAAGUGCUCCGAUACCCAAGAGGGAAUGGAAUUGUCUCCACCGUGGUCCUAUAGGGCAUACAAUAAUCACUAAGGAAAUAACGAAGGGGGGUAAUUGAUACUUACUGGAAGAAAUAUUUGGCGAACUAACUGAGGCAAUACGCACGUCGGAGUAGAGUCAGCAAAUCGUCAGCAAAAACAAAGGGUACAAAUGAAUAGGGGAACCCCCUAUUUAUAAGAACCACCAAGGGUCAAGAUAUAUUCAAUUCAACGACCAAGAUCUUGUGAAUUUUUGAGUUUCAAGGACAAAAUCUGUCGUUCCCGCCAAAACAUCAUUUCAUUCCCGCUAGUAAGUCACUCUGCAUUAAAUGCCUUCUUCCACAUAGCACCCCUUAAGAAGCUAUCACCAUUACAGGAACACGUCCUCAAAACAGACUAUACUACUUGAACCCCCAAGUGCCCUACCUCGGCAUUUUGAGUAGGGGGCUACUGAUGUGGGAUAAAAUAUUUGCCAAGUUAAGCACGUCGCCUCAUGAUCAUUUCACCCAAUGUAUUUCCUGAUCGCCUAUCGCUUGGAUGUCCAUUGCUAAUUUCCAGUGACCACUUCGCCAUUAUAUGUACGAAACAUUCUCUAACUCGCCAUUGGACGAGGUCGUUCAUAUCACCAUAUUAGAGACCAUCUCCAUGAAAGUUCUCUCUCCACAAGGAGUCUAUCUUAGAGUUUUUCUCUAUCACAUUCCUACCAGAUCAGAGUCCAUCUCUGCAAAGUUCCCAUCUCCAUAGGGAAAUAAUCCAUCACAAUCCCUAUAAUUGCGGGUUGCUCUCCAAAUGGCAACCUCCUACAUUAUCUCCGAUAAUAUUGGGAUAUCCUUCCAUACUUAUCCUUUUGAGGAUCUCGCCGUGAUCUAUUGACACGGCCCAUUACUUCGUCUAUAUAAAGGUCGUUCCCCCAUCAUUAUGAGGUACGAUUUAAUGUGCUCAAUACUCACACAUCACAGUGUAUUUUAUGCUUUGCCUUGUUUAUCAUUGCCUUGGUCUGAUUGCCACGCCAUAGUUUUGAGUGGCCUCGUCCCGGUCGUUUACUUUUGUUCAUCUGCGUAGGUUGCCCACCUUGUUGCUGAGGUCCAAUGCCAAGACAGAGGAGCAAUAUCGACUGUUGGAUUGCUUUUUAGAUUUUUACCACAACACAUCCUAAGCUGGUAUUUUUUACCUAUUUAGUAUCUUCACUAUAGUUGGGAUUUUUAUGGCCCAUCCAUGCCAACAGAAGCACCCCAAAAAAUAAACACGCACAUGCACACACAAAAGAGAAGCACCAAUAUUUACGUGGUUCAAUCCAAAUUUCCUACAUCUAUAAGGCUUGAGAAAUAAAUCCAAUAUGAAAUAAUAGAGAUUACAAUAUGAGACCAAAUAUACCAAACCCCAACACCAUUACCUGAGCCCCUUGCGCAAGGGUAACUGAGCCCAUGCUCACUCCAGUAGUCCAGUGUCCCUAAGCUUCAGGUCCCAAGGCUUCUCGCUGACUAGUAUCUUUGCUUCUCACCCAAGCAUCUCUAUAUUACCCUUAUUCAGCCCUCUCUCACACCUUAGCCAGUAGCCCACUUAGGCUGUUUGACCCAUUGUGCUUUUCUUAGUUGUUAUCCAACAAGACUUAUAAUCCCAAAUGAAGUUCUAUUGCCGUACAACUAUUAAAACCCUAUCCAUACUUGAUACUGGACUUCACAUUGCAACCUAAAUACAUGUAAAAAUUCAAUAAUUAUUUGGGUCCCAAUAUGUCCCACAUCGAUCAAUCGCAACAAACUUAAACCCUAGGUCACAUAAUCCAUUGCACAAGCCACACGAAUCCCAAAUUGGCACGCGAAUUAAAGAACUUACUAUGAAUUUGGGUUAAAUUCGCGGAUCCAUCAGACAUGAUUCGCAAAUCCAUUAAAGCAGCACGCAAAUUCUCAUUUCAGAGACUAAAUGACUGCCAUGCGGGGUUGUAGUGGUUGCUCUUCAUUUUCGCAUUGGCGAAAGCUUCAAGAGAGACGCCUCCCCCACCCAAUCUCAUCAAGUUCUUAUUCAUCUUCUUCUUCUCAAUUGAUCGUGAGGCAUUAAUUUUCUCUCUGUUUUCAUAAGGGUUACUUUUGGGGAUUCGAUUCUUCAUCGCGUAAUGAACACAAAUUGAUUGGUUGUGAACAAAAAUUGGGGCAGAGAAUGGAACAGGCGCUUACGAGGGAUUCGAAACCCUAGUUAGCAGUGGUGAGAGAGAGAAAGAGAGAGAGAGAGAGGAGAGACACGAAGUGAGCGAGACUAGAAAAGAGAAGGAAAUGGGCCUAUUUGGUUUGUUAACCAAG